CCUACGGGUGGCAGCAGUGAGGAAUAUUGGUCAAUGGACGCAAGUCUGAACCAGCCAUGCCGCGUGCAGGAAGACGGCUCUAUGAGUUGUAAACCGCUUUUGUACGAGGGUAAAUCCCGAUACGUGUAUCGGGUUGAAAGUUACGUACGAAUAAUGAUUGGCUAACUCCGUGCCAGCAGCCGCGGUAAUACGGAGGAUUGAAGCGUUAUCCGGAUUUAUUUGGUUUAAAGGGUGCGUAGGCGGUUCGAUAAGGUAGAGGUGAAAUCCCGGGGCUCAACUCCGGCACUGCCUCUGAUACUGGCGGGCUAGAGUUGAGUUGAGGUAGGCGGAAUGUAUGGUGUAGCGGUGAAAUGCAUAGAGAUCAUACAGAACACCGAUUGCGAAGGCAGCUUACCAGACUACGACUGACGUUGAGGCACGAAAGCGUGGGGAGCGAACAGGAUUAGAUACCCGUGUAGUC
rnacentral:rRNA from 1 species